CUAAAGUAAAAUAUCUAACAGGUGAAAAAGGUGUGAGGAUUGAACUCAAUAAACCUUCAGAUUCAGUCAGUAAAGACGUCUUAUAGAGCCUUUGAUCCAGCAAUACCCCACUUCACCUACAAUAAUUGUUGACGCUAUUUGUUAAUUUGUGAAUACGAAUAAAUGGGAUAAAGAAAAAUAGACAACCAGUUCGCAUUUUAGUAAGGAAACAAACAACUUUGUGUGUUGCAUCAAACAGAAGAUUCUGACUGCUGUGACUUUGUACCGCAUGAUCAACUUAGAAUCUGUGAUUGCUUACAGGAAGAAGAUAAGCUACUAAUAGAAAAUGUUUUUACCUCUGGAUAUGAAAUAAGUGCCCUGUGUAGAAUUUUUUUCAUUCUUAUAUUUUGCCAGAUCUGUUACGUAGCUGAGUUAAUUUCAUCUCUACUUUUUUAAUAUAUGUCAAGUUUGAAUUGGAAUAAUUUUUCUAUGAUUAGGUACAAUUUAUCAAAACUGAAUUGAGAAAAAAUUACAGUAUUUCUCAAAAUAACGUCAAUCUAUU
rnacentral:lncRNA from 1 species